rnacentral:rRNA from 1 species
GCAGUCGAACGCUCGUAGCAAUACGGGAGUGGCAGACGGGUGAGUAACACGUGGGAACGUACCCUUCGAUCUGGGAUAACUGGGGGAAACUUCAGCUAAUACCGGAUACGCCCUUUGGGGGAAAGGUUUACUGUCGAAGGAUCGGCCCGCGUCCGAUUAGCUAGUUGGUGUUGGUAAUGGCUCACCAAGGCGACGAUCGGUAGCUGGUCUGAGAGGAUGGCCAGCCACAUUGGGACUGAGACACGGCCCAAACUCCUACGGGAGGCAGCAGUGGGGAAUAUUGGACAAUGGGCGCAAGCCUGAUCCAGCCAUGCCGCGUGAGUGAUGACGGCCUUAGGGUUGUAAAGCUCUUUCGCACGCGACGAUAAUGACGGUAGCGUGAGAAGAAGCCCCGGCUAACUUCGUGCCAGCAGCCGCGGUAAUACGAAGGGGGCUAGCGUUGUUCGGAUUAACUGGGCGUAAAGGGUGCGUAGGCGGGCUUUUAAGUCAGGGGUGAAAUCCCAAGGCUCAACCUUGGAACUGCCUUUGAUACUGGGAGUCUUGAGUCCGGGAGAGGUGAGUGGAACUGCGAGUGUAGAGGUGAAAUUCGUAGAUAUUCGCAAGAACACCAGUGGCGAAGGCGGCUCACUGGCCCGGAACUGACGCUGAGGCACGAAAGCGUGGGGAGCAAACAGGAUUAGAUACCCUGGUAGUCCACGCCUUAAACGAUGGAUGCUAGCCGUUGGCCAGCUUGCUGGUCCGUGGCGCCGUUAACACAUUUAGCAUCCGCUGGGAGUACGUCG